rnacentral:tRNA from 3 species
GGGCUGGUAGCUCAGAUGGUAGAGCACGGAACUUUUAAUUCUGGGGUCAUGGGUUCGAGUCCCAUCCAGCCCACCA